AGCUUUUUUGAAUCCGUGCUGAGAUUUCGUCAGACACUAACCCAUUAGGGCUGAUCAGACUUCAAAGAUAAGUGAAGUU
rfam:Schistosoma rodhaini strain Burundi genome assembly, scaffold: SROB_scaffold0017585